rnacentral:rRNA from 1 species
CAUACCCGAAUUGAGAGACUGAUCGGCCACAAUGGGACUGAGACACGGCCCAUACUCCUACGGGAGGCAGCAUUAGGGAAUCUUCCACAAUGGGCGCAAGCCUGAUGGAGCAACACCGCGUGAGUGAAGAAGGGUUUCGGCUCGUAAAGCUCUGUUGUUAAAGAAGAACACGUAUGAAAGUAACUGUUCAUACGUUGACGGUAUUUAACCAGAAAGUCACGGCUAACUACGUGCCAGCAGCCGCGGUAG